CAUAACGACUCUCGGCAACGGAUAUCUCGGCUCUCGCAUCGAUGAAGAACGUAGCGAAAUGCGAUACUUGGUGUGAAUUGCAGAAUCCCGUGAACCAUCGAGUCUUUGAACGCAAGUUGCGCCCGAAGCCUUUCGGCCGAGGGCACGCCUGCCUGGGCGUCACGCA
rnacentral:rRNA from 1 species